rnacentral:tRNA from 1 species
AUUUAUAUAUUUUAAUUAAAAUUUAACUUUUUCAAAGUUAAAAUAGGGACCUACCCUUAUAAAUU